rnacentral:rRNA from 1 species
AUUGAACGCUGGCGGCAGGCUUAACACAUGCAAGUCGAACGAGUGGCGGACGGGUGAGUAAUGAUUGGGAAUCUAGCUUAUGGAGGGGGAUAACUACGGGAAACUGUAGAUAAUACCGCGUACCAUAGGAUGAGCCCAAGGGGGAUUAGGUAGUUGGGGAGGUAAAGGUUCACCAAGACGACGAUCUCUAGCUGUUCUGAGAGGAUGAACAGCCACACGGGGACUGGGACACGGCCCAGACUCCUACGGGAGGCAGCAGUGGGGAAUAUUGCGCAAUGGGGGCAACCCAACGCAGCCAUGCCGCGUGAAUGAAGAAGGCCUUCGGGUUGUAAAGUUCUUUCGGUAGCGAGGCGUUAACUACAGAAGAAGCACCGGCUAACUCCGUGCCAGCAGCCGCGGUAAUAC